rnacentral:rRNA from 1 species
GGGUUGUGAGGUUAAGCGACUAAGCGUACACGGUGGAUGCCCUGGCAGUCAGAGGCGAUGAAGGACGUGCUAAUCUGCGAUAAGCGUCGGUAAGGUGAUAUGAACCGUUAUAACCGGCGAUUUCCGAAUGGGGAAACCCAGUGUGAUUCGUCACACUAUCAUUAACUGAAUCCAUAGGUUAAUGAGGCGAACCGGGGGAACUGAAACAUCUAAGUACCCCGAGGAAAAGAAAUCAACCGAGAUUCCCCCAGUAGCGGCGAGCGAACGGGGAGCAGCCCAGAGCCUGAAUCAGUGUGUGUGUUAGUGGAAGCGUCUGGAAAGGCGCGCGAUACAGGGUGACAGCCCCGUACACAAAAAUGCACAUACUGUGAGCUCGAUGAGUAGGGCGGGACACGUGGUAUCCUGUCUGAAUAUGGGGGGACCAUCCUCCAAGGCUAAAUACUCCUGACUGACCGAUAGUGAACCAGUACCGUGAGGGAAAGGCGAAAAGAACCCCGGCGAGGGGAGUGAAAAAGAACCUGAAACCGUGUACGUACAAGCAGUGGGAGCACGCUUAGGCGUGUGACUGCGUACCUUUUGUAUAAUGGGUCAGCGACUUAUAUUCUGUAGCAAGGUUAACCGAAUAGGGGAGCCGAAGGGAAACCGAGUCUUAACUGGGCGUUAAGUUGCAGGGUAUAGACCCGAAACCCGGUGAUCUAGCCAUGGGCAGGUUGAAGGUUGGGUAACACUAACUGGAGGACCGAACCGACUAAUGUUGAAAAAUUAGCGGAUGACUUGUGGCUGGGGGUGAAAGGCCAAUCAAACCGGGAGAUAGCUGGUUCUCCCCGAAAGCUAUUUAGGUAGCGCCUCGUGAAUUCAUCUCCGGGGGUAGAGCACUGUUUCGGCAAGGGGGUCAUCCCGACUUACCAACCCGAUGCAAACUACGAAUACCGGAGAAUGUUAUCACGGGAGACACACGGCGGGUGCUAACGUCCGUCGUGAAGAGGGAAACAACCCAGACCGCCAGCUAAGGUCCCAAAGUCAUGGUUAAGUGGGAAACGAUGUGGGAAGGCCCAGACAGCCAGGAUGUUGGCUUAGAAGCAGCCAUCAUUUAAAGAAAGCGUAAUAGCUCACUGGUCGAGUCGGCCUGCGCGGAAGAUGUAACGGGGCUAAACCAUGCACCGAAGCUGCGGCAGCGACGCUGAUGCGUUGUUGGGUAGGGGAGCGUUCUGUAAGCCUGCGAAGGUGUGCUGUGAGGCAUGCUGGAGGUAUCAGAAGUGCGAAUGCUGACAUAAGUAACGAUAAAGCGGGUGAAAAGCCCGCUCGCCGGAAGACCAAGGGUUCCUGUCCAACGUUAAUCGGGGCAGGGUGAGUCGACCCCUAAGGCGAGGCCGAAAGGCGUAGUCGAUGGGAAACAGGUUAAUAUUCCUGUACUUGGUGUUACUGCGAAGGGGGGACGGAGAAGGCUAUGUUGGCCGGGCGACGGUUGUCCCGGUUUAAGCGUGUAGGCUGGUUUUCCAGGCAAAUCCGGAAAAUCAAGGCUGAGGCGUGAUGACGAGGCACUACGGUGCUGAAGCAACAAAUGCCCUGCUUCCAGGAAAAGCCUCUAAGCAUCAGGUAACAUCAAAUCGUACCCCAAACCGACACAGGUGGUCAGGUAGAGAAUACCAAGGCGCUUGAGAGAACUCGGGUGAAGGAACUAGGCAAAAUGGUGCCGUAACUUCGGGAGAAGGCACGCUGAUAUGUAGGUGAAGUGAUUUACUCAUGGAGCUGAAAUCAGUCGAAGAUACCAGCUGGCUGCAACUGUUUAUUAAAAACACAGCACUGUGCAAACACGAAAGUGGACGUAUACGGUGUGACGCCUGCCCGGUGCCGGAAGGUUAAUUGAUGGGGUUAGCGCAAGCGAAGCUCUUGAUCGAAGCCCCGGUAAACGGCGGCCGUAACUAUAACGGUCCUAAGGUAGCGAAAUUCCUUGUCGGGUAAGUUCCGACCUGCACGAAUGGCGUAAUGAUGGCCAGGCUGUCUCCACCCGAGACUCAGUGAAAUUGAACUCGCUGUGAAGAUGCAGUGUACCCGCGGCAAGACGGAAAGACCCCGUGAACCUUUACUAUAGCUUGACACUGAACAUUGAGCCUUGAUGUGUAGGAUAGGUGGGAGGCUUUGAAGUGUGGACGCCAGUCUGCAUGGAGCCGACCUUGAAAUACCACCCUUUAAUGUUUGAUGUUCUAACGUGGACCCGUAAUCCGGGUUGCGGACAGUGUCUGGUGGGUAGUUUGACUGGGGCGGUCUCCUCCUAAAGAGUAACGGAGGAGCACGAAGGUUGGCUAAUCUUGGUCGGACAUCAGGAGGUUAGUGCAAUGGCAUAAGCCAGCUUGACUGCGAGCGUGACGGCGCGAGCAGGUGCGAAAGCAGGUCAUAGUGAUCCGGUGGUUCUGAAUGGAAGGGCCAUCGCUCAACGGAUAAAAGGUACUCCGGGGAUAACAGGCUGAUACCGCCCAAGAGUUCAUAUCGACGGCGGUGUUUGGCACCUCGAUGUCGGCUCAUCACAUCCUGGGGCUGAAGUAGGUCCCAAGGGUAUGGCUGUUCGCCAUUUAAAGUGGUACGCGAGCUGGGUUUAGAACGUCGUGAGACAGUUCGGUCCCUAUCUGCCGUGGGCGCUGGAGAAUUGAGGGGGGCUGCUCCUAGUACGAGAGGACCGGAGUGGACGCAUCACUGGUGUUCGGGUUGUCAUGCCAAUGGCACUGCCCGGUAGCUAAAUGCGGAAGAGAUAAGUGCUGAAAGCAUCUAAGCACGAAACUUGCCCCGAGAUGAGUUCUCCCUGACUCCUUGAGAGUCCUGAAGGAACGUUGAAGACGACGACGUUGAUAGGCCGGGUGUGUAAGCGCAGCGAUGCGUUGAGCUAACCGGUACUAAUGAACCGUGAGGCUUAACCUUACAACGCCGAAG